GACGAACGCUGGCGGCGUGCUUAACACAUGCAAGUCGAACGGAAAGACCCUGCUUUUGUGGGGUGCUCGAGUGGCGAACGGGUGAGUAACACGUGAGUAACCUGCCCUUGAAUUUGGGAUAACUUCAGGAAACUGGGGCUAAUACCGGAGAGGAGCUCCUGCUGCAUGGUGGGGGUUGGAGAGUUUCGGCGGUAGGGGAUGGACUCGAGGCUUAUCAGCUUGUUGGUGGGGUAGUGGCUUACCAAGGCUUUGACGGGUAGCCGGCCUGAGAGGGUGACCGGCCACAUUGGGCCUGCGAUACGGCCCAGUCUCCUACCGGAGGCAGCAGGGGGGAAUAUUGCACAAUGGGCGGAAGCCUGAUGCAGCAACGCCGCGUUCGGGAUGCCGUCCUUCGGGUUGUAAACCGCUUUCGCCUGUGACGAAGCGUGAGUGACGGUAAUGGGUAAAGAAGCACCGGCUAACUACGUG
rnacentral:rRNA from 1 species